CCUAAUUGCUACCACUUAUUAAGUGUUCACAAAAGCACGUAAAGUUCACAGAUAAUCCUACUAAUCCUUACAGGAAUCCCAUGAAUUGAUAUACUAUUAUCUCUACUAUUAUUUUUUUUUUGAACUUGGCUAUGGAAGUCACAUUUAUUUUUUAGUUUUUUUAACUUAUUUUUUAAUUGAAUGAUAAUUGCUUUACAGAAUUUUUUUGUUUUCUGUCAAACAUCAACAUGAAUCAGCCAUAGGUACUAUUUUUUACCUAUUUUUACCUAUUUUUGAAAGGAGUCUUUCAUUUCUUAAUGUUAGUUGUUAUUGUUAUUCUCUUAUUGAAAUAAUAUGCCUUAGACCAAUGCUUGUUUGCNNNNNNUUUUUUUUUUUUUUUUUUUUGAUUGCAUGUCAUGUGGGAUCUUAGUUCCUGGACCAGGAAUUGAACCCCAACCCCCUGCAGUUAAAACCAUGGAGUCUUAACUACUGGAAUACCAGGGAAGUCCCUAUCUCCAUUUUAAGAUGAAGGAAACAGAGGCUUUAGAGAAAUAAUUUGACUAAAAUUACCAACCUAGGAAAUGGCAGGGCUCAGAUUCAAGCCCAGGUUUCUCUGACUCAGAGCCCACAUUCUGGUCCAGCAUGCUUCAUCCCUGAUGCAUGCUCAUCCCCGUUGUCUGUGGGGCCCUGAAUCUGCCAGGACUUUGCCCAGAAUUCUGGAGGAUGCCCCACAGGAGCCGAGCAUAAAACUCUCCAGCCGCAGAGGCCUGUCUCCGUCCUCCCCAUUAAAGUCUACCUUGACCUUUUAUGUAUGCACACAGGAGGGCAGUGUUCCAGCAUGAAGCCUAGCCAUGGUCCUCUUCAUUUCUGAGGACAGNNGAAAAUUAGCAGAACCCUCACCACCCUUCCCCAACUUCUCCCAACAAGUAAUGUUAUAUAUAGCACGUUUUUAUAAGACGUGGCACCCAAUGGGCCACCCCAGCUGCAUGACAGCAAUGACAUUUACUUGAACUAACUUUUUGCAAAAGGCUAAAAGGUCAUAAUAUUGGAAGAAAUGGUAUCCAUUGAUGGUUCUCUAUAUUGGUCAACAGUGUUACACCUGGGAAAAGUACCCACAUUCCUGAAGCAUUAUCUACAGACUAUGAAGUCAGGCCCCAAUGCAACACGGCUAUGACACGGGAACCCUAACCUUUCCCACACUCUUUUCUUUAAAUACUUACUUGUUUAUUCGGCUGCGUCCCAUCUUAGGUGCAGCAUACAGGCUUCUCUAGUUGCAGAGCACGGGCUUCUCUCCAGUUGUGGCAUGUGGGCUUAGAUGCCGCAUGGCACGUGCGAUUUUAGUUCUCCAACCACAGAUGGAACCCAAAUGCCUUGCUUUGAAAGACAGGUUCUUGCCACUGGACCACAAGGGAUGUCUCUCUUCCAAUCUCUAAAUGCUAUUUUCUUGGAUGUUUCUAUUUAAAUCUUCUGUUCUCUUCUCUUUGGCUUUAUCUAUUGCUCAAAUUCAAAUAAACUUCUACUUAGCUGCUUUUGAAAUAUAAUCAAUUUCUGUCCCUAAAUCCAAGGUGAUAAAUUAUACACAACUACAAUCAUACAUUUUGUGGAGGACUAGGAGGGUUCAUUUAUCUCUGCCUCCCUCCAACCUUUAUACACCUUUGUCCAAAGAAUUAUUUAACUUCCUCAGUAUUUCAUCAAAAUUUGAGGUGGCCUCUAUUUCCUCCUUGCACUGAAAACUGAAUAAUGGCUCAUUCAAUGAGUCCAUGUGGUUGAAUUCAGCUAUAAAUUCCAGCCAACAGUUGCCUAGAUCAGAUGAAGAAAUUCUCUAUAAACUAUAAGGUGAGUUUAUAGAGACAGACCAAAGUGGCAAAAACAAAAUAAUUUCUUCUCCUGUGCCUGAUUUUAUUGUCUGCCUAGCCCAUUUUCACCUAAAUUCUGGAAACUUCCACCUGCUGGACAAAUGCUCACAACAACCAGCAGCUUAGUCAUUUGGGCUUAUCCUUUCCAAGAACAGGCUCAGCUCUGCUCUGCAUUAAAUGUAAUCCGCAAGCCAGAGGUGCAAUGAGGCCAAGCCCUACUUAUUGCAUUCUCCUCUGUUCUCCAGAAAUGACAACUCUGCCCUGUUCCUGAAGUCCACAGGUCAGUAAAGAUAAAGGCCCAGGAGCUUUUUCUCUGUCAUCUAAGAAUUUAGGGAUAACUGCCCACUCCAAAACAAAGAAGGCCGUUCUCUCCUCUCUGUAAUGGUCUUGUCUAUUUCUUGCGUCACGCCUCCACUGCUCCAGGCAUGCACAGCAGUCCAGUUCAGCUAAACUCUGUAAAAUAUAUUUUAAGUAGAAUGGAGAAAUAUAUAAUUUACCAUUAGUCUAAAGAAAAAAUUCACUUAACCUUCAUGCACCACUCUUUUUUAGUGUUUCCCCCUUUAGCUUCCUCCUUUUCCAGAGAAACUGAUUCAGUCCUCAGUCGUCAUUCUGAGACCUUCCUAUCACAAACUCUGCUCUCUGAGCAUCUGCUGAGGCCAGACAGCCAUGUGGUGUGAGUGACUGAGAACCAGACGCCAGUGUGUGGCUCCCCUCCCAGGGGCUUUGUGAGCUCAGUGAGCCCCCUCCUUCUGUCUCUCAUAUUCCCAUCUGUGGAAUGGGUUCUUCUCUGCCCCACCUCAAUGGCCAUCAUGAGGAACUGAGGGGGUUUAUGUGAAAGGCAGGGGGCCCAGGCAGCACUGUGUGGCUGAGGGGCCU
ensembl:lncRNA